UGACGUUUCAGAUUUUCAUGCUGCCUUAGAAACCACAAUAUAUGUAUGAAGGAAGCUACAGGAAGAAAAACGUAAUGAGGCAGCUGCUAAAUUGGAACUAAAAAAAGAUUCCACACCACAAAAUGUCCAGGAUCCAUGAACAAUCCUGAGAGAAAAAACUGUGACCAUAAGCUCCUGAGUCAGGGACCUCAAAGGCUUAUAAGGAGCACCCAGGGAUACUCAGAAGUCAUCUUCCUCUAUUAGCUCAUGACAAGAAAAGCGGACCGUUUCUAUUCAAAAGGCCUUGAUGGAAAUCUCCAGAUGCCCCUGCCAAGUCUUUUGCAUUAAC